AUUGAACGCUGGCGGCAUGCUUUACACAUGCAAGUCGAACGGUAACAGGGAGCUUGCUCCGCUGACGAGUGGCGAACGGGUGAGUAAUGCGUCGGAACGUGCCGAGUAGUGGGGGAUAACGCAUCGAAAGGUGUGCUAAUACCGCAUACGAACUGAGGUUGAAAGUGGGGGACCUUCGGGCCUCACGCUAUUCGAGCGGCCGACGUCUGAUUAGCUAGUUGGUGAGGUAAAGGCUCACCAAGGCGACGAUCAGUAGCGGGUCUGAGAGGAUGAUCAGCCACACGGGGACUGAGAAGCGGCCCAGACUCCUACGGGAGGCAGCAGUGGGGAAUUUUGGACAAUGGGCGCAAGCCUGAUCCAGCCAUGCCGCGUGUCUGAAGAAGGCCUUCGGGUUGUAAAGGACUUUUGUCCGGGAGCAAAUGCUGGUGGCUAACAUCCACCGGAGCUGAGAGUACCGGAAGAAUAAGCACCGGCUAACUACGUGCCAGCCGCCGCGGUAAUAC
rnacentral:rRNA from 1 species